CUCGAACCAAGGAGACAGCAAGCACCCAUUCCCUCAGGAGAGCACAAAGGGCAACAAAGAAAGAUCUCAGAGUUGGUUCAGCUUGAGAAGAAAUGUAGCACCGCAAUGGCUUCUGGUUUUGGAUGCUGCUUCUAUCCUGAAAGGUUUCAGACUGUCAAGGUUCCACAGUCACCAUCUGUCUUCUGACUUAUAUUUCUAUAAACCAGAACUCUGAAACAUGGUGAACAUCAUUAGAGAACUGCACUCUGCAUAAGGGAGCAAUCGGAAGGCUGAUCAGAAGAGUAUUACUUCUCGCAGAUGUUCUUGUAAU